GUGACACCUCUUGGGAGGCCGGCUCCUGGGACUGGAGGAGGGAUUGGAAAGUAACGUGGUUAAAAUUCCAGGCCGAUGCUGAAGGUAGUAGAAGGAAAAGUUUGCCCGAGAGAGGUGUGAGGAUUUUACACGUUUCAAACGCUGUCAAAGAAGGAACGGAGAUGUGGGAUCGCAAGCGCCGGAGGGACGUUUGAAAAGACCCAUCAACCAGCUUGACAGGCAGAAAGCAGCCUGGCCCCGAGUGCUGUGAAGACCCCCGGAAGCUGGACACUCCCAUGUUCUUGCUCCUGUACACUUAGAUUUGCUGUCUGUGUCUCCCUAAAUCACCGGUGGCAAAUAAUGAGGCCCACGGGCCAAAUCCUGCCUUCCACGUUGUUUUAUGCUUCCCUGUUUGAAACGUUCGUCGGUUGCCCAAGGCGCUUGGGAUAAAAAUCUGAAGGCCUAUCCUGUCCUCUAGCACCUUUCCGGGUUGCUGGGGCCCAGUGCACCUCCUCGCCCCGCCUUCCCCGCUCACUAGUCCUGCCUGACUCAUCCCUUGGCCUGGAACAGCCCAGAGGUGACACCGACGCUAAGGUGUGCCUGUGAGUUUGCGGGCACGCGUGCGUUCGUGAGAUAAGCCCCACGAGGUGAGAGCGCUCCUCGGGUCUGUCUGGUGAGCUUCUGUGUCCAGGCCAACCACGCCAGGCGCAUUUGGGGAUGUCGGUAAAUACUUGCGGAGCGAGUGAAUGUCGUCCAAUCUCACGUUUGUCGUGUUUGCCUACACCAAACCUUCUGACCUGCAAAAUGAAGAGACAGCCUCCCUCAUAGGCUCCUUACGAGUAUUAAGUUUUUAGGAACCGUGUUACUUUUUCCCACCCUUGCAUCGUGAAGAGCAAUGAGAACGCUGUGAACUGAGGCCUGUACCUGUGCCCUGAACGCGGUCCCACGUCCUGCAGUUAUCAAUGUCGGCCACCAGGUGGCAGUCGCGUUCUAGGCAAGGCAAGUGUUGCUGGCCUUAAGCUCUCCAGAACUGAAGAUGGGGGAAAUAUAUUACACAAUAUAAUAAUGUUAUAUAUUACAUAAUACACGUAUAAUAUAUUAUUAUUAGGUUAUAUAAAUAUGUUUAGGCUGGUAGAAUGCUAAGAAUAUGACAGCUCAAUCAGCCCAAAUUCUAUUCUGUUCCAUUCCACUGUGUGUUCUACCCUGCUAAGGAGCUCAUCUUUCAUUUUAUUUUAUUAUUUAAAUUUUAAAAAAUUGUAAUUAGCCACCCACAGACAGUGAAUGAACACAGGUGGGCUGCUGUGAGUCUGUCACCUGCAUAUCCUGACCUGGUCCCCAACUGUCCCCCGACCCACAGCAAGGGCAGGCCUGAGGCCUGGACUCGCUCACCUUCUGUGUAUUCCCAUCCUCGACAUUUCCUCAGUGGGGAUCAAGUCUUGGAAACAUUAACACCGAAACCGGCAAGAGGCAUACAACUGGAUACGCUCAGGUUUCAGCCCUUUCAUUUCUAGAAAUUCCUCAUUUAGCUGGUCCUUGUUUAUUCAAGGACCAGCUGCUGCAACUGCCCCUUCGCCCCCUGGGAACAUCUGUGCAAACGGGGACAGCUAAAGAGAGUCACACAAACCCGUAUUUGCUGAGCUCUUAAGGUCCCUCGAGCAUCCAAACUGAAACCAAACUCCAACCAGCUGCCUGGGGAUGUGUGGCUUCAGGAUUCCAGAGCCUGAGGUGCCCUGUGGUCCUGAGGGCACAGACUGCGAGUCAGAGCCUGCUGAAAAAAUGUUUGCGGGCUCCCAGCCUGGCCCAGAAGCCUCAGGAGGGCAGCAACCGCUUGGCUCCACUGUCUCCCCCAGGUACCGGGUGCAGGACCCAGUGAGGCAGCUGCCAGGCCGAGCAGAGGGCCCAGAGCAGACAGGGCACUACGGGGGUGUCAGCCGCUCAUCUUUUACACAGGGUGCAUUUUAGCAUUUCUGUCACCCCACUAAACACCUGGAUACGCUAUUUGUCAUUUUCUGUGGAUAAAUGAAAACAAUGUUUAGAGAGGUCUCUUCUAGUAUUUACUACUAACAGGAGUUUUCCUAACUUUCAACCUCAAAUCCUUUACCUGGCGCUUCCAAAAUGGUUGGGGACCACUUUGUAUGAUAUUGGGAACUGUAACCUUUGCACAAGCUGGGCCUUGCAUAAGGGCCUGUAAGUUCUUGACCAGACGCUGGGGAUGCUGGGAGGCAGGCGUGCCCCGAUGUUAGCACCUCGGGUUCCCUGGGGAAAUCUGGCCUAGAGAAUGCAUCUUGUUUACUGAAGCUUGCUCCGCUGCAGCCCUGAUAAGGAAGAAGCAGCUGUUUGACUUCCAGGCAGGGAAGAAGACUCCUGAGCCCUGCCUUAAGGACCAUCUGGCCUGUCUCACUGACCCUGACCUGGGGCAGAUCUCUGGGUUUCCUCCACUGUUAUCCGUAGAUAACAUCUGUUUUCUAUAGGUUGGCCUUUGGACAGUGAUCCAAGAGCUUUGCCCCCUGUGGCACAGCCCUGCACAGAUCUUCCCAAUAAAAGCCCCCGGAGAAAGGGCCUCGGGCUCUUCUGCUCUGAGAAGUUAGCCAGCCUUCUCUCCCCAAAGCAGGUCUGGUCUUGGGGGUCUCAUUCCAACCGCAGCUCCGGGGGACAGGGUCCCCCUCACAAAACCUAUUAUGAUUUUGGCUGGAACACGUUACUCUCUAUCUUAUACCCUCUAUUUUCCUUCUUGAACAAGAACUUUGUCUUGUUUUCUGAUUACAGGGGGUGCUCUUGGAUGGAAAGCACCUGUCCUUUCCGUUCUCUCCCAACACGCAUGUACCGUCUGGGGAAAAGAAGAUGUAGGUUGCUUGCUGUCCUGCUGGUCUGGCUUUGCCUUUUUGAGCAAAAUUACCUACAGGCGCCUGGCACAAAAGGAAGAAAUGAAAGUGUUGAAGAGUCUACAAAUUAGAUAACCUCUAUGUGAUCACAUUUUUUUGGAUUUUGAAAUUUUAUUUUGUAAAUAUCGAUUAAAAUUGAUUAAAUGUGUGUCUAUGCUUUGA